ensembl:lncRNA
UCCUGAUGGUGACACAUUUGCAGGUGUGACUUCUCUUCUUCAGCUUAGCUGUGGUAAUAGAAGAUGCAUCCUCUUCCUGUUGUGUCACAGUAAAAGUCCUCCCUCACGUGACUGUGGCUUCUCUGAAGCAGCAGAUGUUUGUUGAGUAUGGUUUCCACCCCAGGGUGCAGCGCUGGGUCAUCGCUCAGUGUCUGUGCUCUGACGGACGCUCUUUAGCGUCGUAUGGCAUCUACAGGGAUGGUGACACUGCGUUCCUAUACCUCUUGUCUGCUCGUCACGCCUGCCUCGGUCAGCAGCAGCGGGAGAACGGUGUGUCGAAGCUGAACGCCAGCGGCCCCGUCAGCCACGACUGGAGAGAGUGUAUUAGUGAGAAACCGCACAGGUUAUUGUGUCUCAUACAAGCCAGUCUCAUUAAAUCUGCACCAAUUACAAAGACUAAUAAUCCAGGAAUCACCUAGACUGCAGGACAGGCUUCUUUUUAUCACAUUUAAUCAAUUAGCAGUAUUAGUACUGUUCAGAUGUUUGGGUAGGUGAUAUUUUUUUUUAAUGUUUUUAAAAGAAGUCUCUUCUGCUGACCAAGACUGCAUUUAUUUGAUCUAAAAUUGGGAAACAUUAUUACAACUCAAAAUAGCUGUUUUCUGUAUGAAUACAGUAUAUAAUGUGACACACAGCUGUAUUUUCAGCAUCAUUACUCCAGUCUUCAGUGUCACAUGAUCUUCAGAAACCAUUCUAAUGUGAUGAUUUGCUGCUUAAGAAACAUUUCUGAUUAUUAUCAAUGUUAAAAAACAGUUGUGCUGCACAUUAUUUUUGUGCAAACCGUGAUUUAUUUUCGGUUCUGUAGUAAUAGAAAAUUCAAAAGAACAGCAUUUAUUUGAAAUAGAAAUCUUGUGUAACAAGCGUCUUUACUGUCACUUUUGAUGACUUUAAUGUGUCCUUGCUGAAUAAAAGUAUUAAUUAUACUGUCUCAAACUUCUGAACAGUAGUGUAUGAAUGUUCCAGUUCUUGUUGUUUUCACUCUCAUUAUCACUGCUCUCUUCAGUGCUUGUUUCUGAUUGGUCAGCAGGCAGCAGUGGGUGUGGCUCAGAGAAGCCUAGUGUCAGUGACAUCAUUAACCUUGAGAUGUUGCAACUUGGUGGAUCCAAACUGAAAUCAAGUAACACACAGUCAGGCUGGUCCUGUCCUUCCUGUACAUUCAUAAAUAAGUCUACGAGACCCGGCUGUGAAAUCUGCAGCACAGAUCGACCCAAUCCUCUCAAUCACAGCAGCGUUCAGCAGGUGAUUUCACUACAGCUACAUCUACACCUGUUCACUGUGCUGGAACACUGUGUGCUGAUGUUUAUUCUCUUUCUGUUUUAGGAACAAGCAAGAAGAUCGAACCUGUGAAACUGUGCUGUAAAUACACACAAACCCUAAGAUCAUCUCACAUUCAAACGACAUGUGAGGAACUAAACUACUAUUAGCUGCUAGUAGUUUUAAUAAGAGUUGACUUGCACACAAAGCUUCAAUCUCUCACAGUGACUGUGUGGUAUAUUUCACCGGUGGCUUCAUCUCUGGUGCUUUACAGUGCAGUUAAUAGUAACUGAUCUGAUGCUUGGUUCCUCUUAAAGGAGUUGUGACAUGGAUUUGCUUUUGAGCUUAAUUAAUACAUUCUUUGUUUAUAAUGAAGAAGAUGUUUUGAGUUAUGAAACUCACAGGCUCGAGGAAAAAUGAGAUUUCUCAUGUCACGAUUCGUUAAAUGGAGUGAUGUAACUGUUGAAGAGUAUUAGGCUUCAGAAGUGAUCCUGGUUCAUUUUAUGAGCGAACAAAAACAAAGCAGAAACCCAAUCAUCUGUGGCUCUAGAUGGUGCAAACUAUUUAGGAACUUUACUUUGCAAGUUGCACAUGAGUUUUUGUUUCAAAUAGGACAUUAUAAGUAUCUUUUAGCUUUAGUUGUUGAUUCAGAUGAGUAAUAUGAAUAAGGAAACAACACUGUGUAAAAUAUUAAACAUUCAGCGUUUGUGCAAAUCAGUGUUCAUAUUCGUUCACUGGAACUGGACAAAUAUUUGUGUUUAAUUUAUGUUCAUCAAGCUCUAUUUUAGGGGCUUGAGUUUUAAGGUAAAUGUGACUGUAUAUCAUUAUGUGACGAGGCCAGUACAUAGUGUGAAAAACAACUGAAGGAAACUUGCAUAAAUACAUGUUAUGUGAAUGGAGUAAUCUUUAUCCUCUGGAAAUGUGAGAGAUGUUAUUGUUGAGUAAUAAAAACACAGCCUCUAUUGUGUUGUAUAUUCA